rfam:Perkinsus marinus ATCC 50983 gcontig_1104296267786, whole genome shotgun sequence.
GCACCGCUAGUCUAAUGGUUAGGAUAUCUGCCUUCCAAGCAGAUGGUCCGGGUCCGAUUCCCGGGCGGUGCA